rnacentral:tRNA from 1 species
GAGAUAUUAGUAAAAUAGAUUACACCACCUUGUCAAGGUGAAAUUAUGGGUUAAAUUCCCAUAUAUCUCUA